rnacentral:rRNA from 1 species
AGAGUUUGAUCCUGGCUCAGGAUGAACGCUAGCUACAGGCUUAACACAUGCAAGUCGAGGGGCAGCAUCAUCAAAGCUUGCUUUGAUGGAUGGCGACCGGCGCACGGGUGAGUAACACGUAUCCAACCUGCCGACAACACUGGGAUAGCCUUUCGAAAGAAAGAUUAAUACCGGAUGGCAUAGUUUUCCCGCAUGGGAUAAUUAUUAAAGAAUUUCGGUUGUCGAUGGGGAUGCGUUCCAUUAGGCAGUUGGCGGGGUAACGGCCCACCAAACCAACGAUGGAUAGGGGUUCUGAGAGGAAGGUCCCCCACAUUGGAACUGAGACACGGUCCAAACUCCUACGGGAGGCAGCAGUGAGGAAUAUUGGUCAAUGGACGAGAGUCUGAACCAGCCAAGUAGCGUGAAGGAUGACUGCCCUAUGGGUUGUAAACUUCUUUUAUACGGGAAUAAAGUUAGCCACGUGUGGCUUUUUGUAUGUACCGUAUGAAUAAGGAUCGGCUAACUCCGUGCCAGCAGCCGCGGUAAUACGGAGGAUCCGAGCGUUAUCCGGAUUUAUUGGGUUUAAAGGGAGCGUAGGCGGGUUGUUAAGUCAGUUGUGAAAGUUUGCGGCUCAACCGUAAAAUUGCAGUUGAUACUGGCGACCUUGAGUGCAACAGAGGUAGGCGGAAUUCGUGGUGUAGCGGUGAAAUGCUUAGAUAUCACGAAGAACUCCGAUUGCGAAGGCAGCUUACUGGAUUGUAACUGACGCUGAUGCUCGAAAGUGUGGGUAUCAAACAGGAUUAGAUACCCUGGUAGUCCACACAGUAAACGAUGAAUACUCGCUGUUGGCGAUAUACAGUCAGCGGCCAAGCGAUAGCAUUAAGUAUUCCACCUGGGGAGUACGCCGGCAACGGUGAAACUCAAAGGAAUUGACGGGGGCCCGCACAAGCGGAGGAACAUGUGGUUUAAUUCGAUGAUACGCGAGGAACCUUACCCGGGCUUAAAUUGCAACUGACUGAACCGGAAACGGUUCUUUCUUCGGACAGUUGUGAAGGUGCUGCAUGGUUGUCGUCAGCUCGUGCCGUGAGGUGUCGGCUUAAGUGCCAUAACGAGCGCAACCCUUAUCGAUAGUUACUAGCAGGUCAUGCUGAGGACUCUAUUGAGACUGCCGUCGUAAGAUGUGAGGAAGGUGGGGAUGACGUCAAAUCAGCACGGCCCUUACGUCCGGGGCUACACACGUGUUACAAUGGGGGGUACAGAAGGCAGCUACACGGCGACGUGGUGCUAAUCCCGAAAGCCUCUCUCAGUUCGGAUUGGAGUCUGCAACCCGACUCCAUGAAGCUGGAUUCGCUAGUAAUCGCGCAUCAGCCACGGCGCGGUGAAUACGUUCCCGGGCCUUGCACACACCGCCCGUCA